UUUAUGAGUGUACAAAUAAGGCAUAUUAGGAAGUGUAAAUCAAAAAUUGAUACUAACGGUAUUUGUGUUUGAUACCCAAAAAAAUAUCUGUAAUUGUAUUGGCAAAAAGUAUUUUAAAUAAAGAUUGAAGACAAACAUGUACAAUUAGAUUUGGGCAUUCAGAUUUUCAGAUCGGUUUAGAUCGGAUAAUUCAGAUUUCAGAGGGUUUUUUCUGGUUGAGAGGUACAAGAUCUAUUUAAGAACCGGAUGAAUUUUGGAUUAGAUCGAUUCAGUUCUUCUUCCGAUUAGGUCGGUUCUCAAAAUUUAUUUUGAAAUCAGACAUGGAACUUAAAUAUUUUCUGAUUCCGAUUUGGAACCCAAACUACUCAAAAAAAACUGAAACAAUCAUGUGUAUAGAUUGUUUCCAGUUUUAUGGGUCGUUUGGGUUUUGGGGUUUUCAAGUAUUUAUUCAAGUUUUGGAUUUUUUGGGUAUUCAUUGAGAUUUCGGAUUCUACCCCAACCAAACCAAAACUCAAAAAUAUAUAUUUUAGGAUCUAUUCGGAUAAUAUUCACUAUCCAAAAACGAACGGAACCGGAUUUAUUUUAACUCAGUUUCAAUCGGACUUUAGAUUGUAUGCCCAUGCAGGCUGAAUAUCAUUAAAAAAAGGAAAUUUGGAAAACUGACUUACAAAAAAAUUAUAAUUAAGUAACACUACAAAAAAAAAAAUGAUAUUCUUUAUAUUUUAUAUAUUAAUCCCAACUUUAUCCUCUUUCCUUCUCUCUCUCUUUCUCUCUCCCUUCUCCGCCUCUCUCCCUACUUUUUUUCUCUCUCUCCUUCUCUCCCUCUCUCCUUCUCUCUCUCUCCUUCUCUCUCUCCUCUCAGCCUUUCUCCCUACCUCUUUUUUUCAUUCUCUCCAAAUGACCUCUUUGCUUAUUUUUGUUUCUAGUUACAGUUAGUUAAUUACCUUUUUGUGAGAUUUAUUUAGGUUAUAAGCUUUGUUUUUUCUUUUUUGUCUUUUUUGAAACAUAAUUUUGACAUCAAAAUGCAUAUAUGGUUUUAAACUAAUUUAUCACUUAAUCUUUUUGUUCUUCAUAGUUACAGACUCACAACAUAUCUACAAUAAAUUAGGGAUCAUUCUUAAAUGUUGAUAAAUUAGGGAUCAUUCUUAGAUCUAGAAGCGAUAAAUGGUUUACGAUGGUAGAAAUUCUAAAGGAAAAUAGCCAAUAAAUCGAUUUUGUUUUUGGAAGAUUUUUGACAGAUACUAUUCUAUUUUGUGAAUAUACUAUUUACGUAUACCUUGUACUAUAUACAUUUUAAAAUGAAUUGUUUGUUUUGAUUAAGGAUGUUAAGUGAUUUGAUUAGUGUUUUAUAUUAAAAGUCUUGGGUUCCCUAUAUAUUAUCUUAGGGUUUAGUAUUCUUCCAUCAAAAAGUAUUUAAUUGAUUAUUUGGAUUCAUCAGAAGAAACAUUUCUAUUUGAACAAAUAUAUACUAUUCUAUUUUUUUAUGAUGAUAUGUAUAGAACUUGGUACCACUAUUCACUUUUUAAAAAAUUUGUUUCCGAUUUUUAAAAUUCAAAUCAUGUUAGAUAAACA
rnacentral:sRNA from 1 species